AGUCUAUAAAUUCACGAAAACGCUCAUAUCUCCCUCUAUAUUACGUAGUUUGGUCAAACCUUCCACACGAAAAACUUUCACGUAGAUGAGACGCAACCGCCUAUAUAAAAAUUUUGAGACAUUUGCCUUCCGACGAUAGGGCUCCCCAUAGAGAAUAAUAACGGUAAAUAGGGUUGACCGCUACUAUCGGCACCGAGACUUUACCCGAUUUACGUGAUUUUUGAACCAUAGCCGUAUUUCACCAUUCUGAACACAUCUUAUUUCACGAGAUUUUUAAUAAUUUUGCUUUCUUUUUAGAGUUGGUUCACAAAAUUGUAUAACCUACUAAACAAGUUAUACAACAUUAGUAGACACGUUGUGAUUCCGAUGACUAAAAUUCACAAACCAAAAUUCGACCGUCAGAUAUGAUCAUUAUGACGAAAGAUGUCUAUGGUAAAAAAUUCAACUGGAUCCGACAACGUUAAGGACUCGAUCGAAACGGGUAACCCUAAUCCAUCCUCACUUAUCACACGAAAACGCUAAUAUCUCCCUCUAUAUUACGUGGUUUGGUCAAACAUUCCACACAAAAAACUCUCACGUAGAUGAGACGCAACUGCCCAUAUAAAAAUUUUGAGACAUUUACCUUCCGACGAUAGGGCUCCCCAUAGGGAAUAAUAACGGUAAAUAGUAGACACGUUGUGAUUCCGAUGACUAAAAUUUACAAACCAAAAUUCGACCGUCCGAUAUGAUCAUUAUGAUGAAAGAUGUCUAUGGUAAAAAAUUCAACUGGAUUCGACAACGUUAAGGUUCAGCUGGAGUCAACUCUAAUCGGAAAUAAGAAAACUGCAUUUUGAAGCCAUAAACGGACUCGGAUGGCCAAAAAGGCCCAUACAUCAUGGCCUUAGCCAUGAGUUUGACUCGUAGGGCCGUUACACUUCCAGAAAGGUAUCACAAUAGUCAAUCGGACACCAAAAACCAAAUCUGCAGCAUAGUGAAUAAUAAGGGUAAAUUGCAUUGACCGCAACUAUCGGCACCGAGACUUUACCGGAAUACCGUGAUUUUUCAACCGUGGACGUAUUUCACCAUUCUGGUCAUAUCUUAUUUCACGAUUUUUUUGCGUUUGAAGGUUCUACGUAUAGUUUUUUUUCUCAGAUGAGUUGUUGUCUAGAUCUGCAAAUAUAAGGCACUUUAGCCGACGAAAUUAAGGCACUUUAGCCGACGAAAUUAUAUUUUUCGUGGGCUAAACUUUUAAAAAUUUCGUCGGCUAAAGUUCACAGAGUAUAGCCGACGAAAAAAAUUAUUUAGACGGCGAAAUUUUAAUUUCGUCGGCUAAAAUUGACCAUAGCCGACGAAAAUUUUUAAUUAGCCGACGAAGGGAAAUUUUAGCCGACGAAAAAAUAAUUUGUCGGCCUGGUUUUUUUAUUUUCGUCGGCUAAAGUCUUUCUUCUGGUAGUGUCUGCUCUAGAGUACGAGUACCCGUAGGUAUGCACACUCUUUCCUGAGCAAUAGAAAUAGCUAACCCAAAUAAAAACGCAUAAAUUUGCUAUCACCAUCGGGCUCAAAUCUCCUAACGUCAUGCAACAACCUCAUCAUUACGCUGCUCACAGCUCGACAAUGAAGCCCACUUGCUAGGAAACUAAAGUUCACACAUUCCCACAUGCUCAUAGGGGUCAAAAUUAAGACCCGCUAAUUAAACAGAUUUUUAAGGAUGCACCCACUGCAGAACUGCAACAAUCACUUCUAAUGCCGACACAUUUCGUAGGGUCUUUCGCAGAGUCAAAGCUCUCGCAAGUCCACAAGACAACCUUGCUCUGCCUAAGAGACCAGUCCACCAACAUAUGAUAAUCUCGAUUCUCGAAAUAACAUUAUGAAAAGAUCAAUACCACGUCACUUAGGUCUCUUCACCAAAACUAUUACAUUAUCUUUUUGAACACCACAAACUAGCAGCUUAUGAGAAUUUCAACUCUCUCUUGAUUUUGCUAUCUCCACUAUUCUCUUUACCACAAACCAGAAGAUAAUUUGAAACAUGACUAUCAUGUGGAAACUGGAUAUUCCUCCUUGCUCGCUAUAAGCAAAAACCAACUAAUUAUGGCCAUGAAAAAUUGGCACACAUCCAAUUCAUGAUGCUCAACUUGACGUUGAAAUCCACAUAAAUAGAACACCUUCCUUAAGCAUUGACAAAAAAAUUUACAUCUUCAGCCAUGCUACUUAUUCGGUUACAACCGUGACCCCAAAUUCAAUAAUUAAAAGCACACGGCUCACUCUAGCCAUUCCAUAAGAAUGAUUCAUCCUGACACCAAUGGAUGAACGCACAACCAAAAAGCGAAGACCUCCCAAAUCAAACUUGGAUCAAUGAGUGGUCCCACCACAAAACGAUCCCGAGAAGAGACGUUGAUCAACCUAUCAAUAAAUAUACUAUUCACCGUAAUAAGUAUCUUAAUAAACCUUGACUCGAAAAGCUUCUUGAGUCAACAGGGGAAAAACCUUCUCUCAUAAAGCUACAUCAUUAAAUAUACCUACAACGACACAAACCAUCUAAUCAACAUCACCACACGACUCUUAGACUACCACAUAGGACUUUUGGCUCCAAGAUUCAUCGCUUAAUUAAACUCCAGCUCACUUGGGAUCACGACUGGAUUUAUCCAGGAUCCAUGCCUACGACACAACAACCAAUUUAUCAUUUACCUCGAAACUUUGACAAAAUAACCAGAAUCUCUAACCUUCAAAUUGAAGAAUUUGAAUUCGCACUCCAAAAUUUCAAGCUCUGAGGACGCUACCCAAAACUACAGCAGAAAUAAUUUAUACAUUUCCAACACACCACAACUAAAACUCUAAUCCACUUCACCAAAUUAAAAAUAAGGUGAGAACAGAUCCUCCCAUUGUUGUGUCGUAGUUAGUCACCCAUUGCGAACAAAAUGAUGACAAAAACCAACUUCGAUCACAACUUUGAGACUUACAUCAACCACCCAGAACGACACUGCUUAAAAAAAAUUACUUUGGACACCCACGCACUCUUGCUCUAGGAUCCAGUGGGUUUUAUUCCACUGCUACCACUUCCACCAACUCCACACAACUGCUAAAGAACACCAAUGACAACACAUAUUAAAUUCACCAGGUGUUGUCGUAAAACCGAAGUAACCACAACAAUCCCGCUCUCACUCCACCAUUACUUUUCAAUUCCAUUACAUUAUCAUCUUCCCAAACACUCAACAAAUCUGGAAACCAAACUUCAACACCUAGAGUUCUGAAAGAAUCUACAAUGGCCCCACGAUUAAAUUAAUAAAAUCAACAUCUCACUUCACGAUUCCAAACUUGCUUAAAACUCAAACCAUUUAGUGCCACCAUUCAAUUUCUAAAAUCUCCCGACUGUGGCACGACAACAAGUUGUCACAACACACUGACCAAUGACUUUUGAAAAACCAACCUAAGGAAAAGCAAUUCAAGUCAUUACACAUAGUGCUUAAACAAACUUCAACUAACCCACAAUAGCGACCAAAAUCAUCAGAAAUCUUACUAUACAUCGAUUAUUAUUAUCCGUCAUUUCCAAAAGAUAUUACCACCACCAUCUUAAUAAAUUGCUCAAAAGAUAAAAACUUAUCCAUAAUUAGAGUUGUAAGAACCAGAAUAUGUGCUGACAUAAUCAGCAUUAUUCCAAAAUGUUCUCAACUGCUUUCUACUGCGGAAAAACAUAGUCGGCAAAAUGGCCUUCAAUCAUGACUUAUCUAAAUUGACAUUUAGCUCUUUAUGCAGCAAUGCCUUACCACCCAAUCAUUAGCCACAAAUUCCCUAAAACCUUAUUUAACCCAAGACUAGGGUCCUUAACAACUCAUAUAGGUACCCCUUUGAAUUACCAUUGGAUACCUCACCUCAUCAUUUCAACUAACUUUUACAUCAAUAGAAUACACCACUACUUCGAACUUUCCUUCCAACUCGACUCUCUCAAAAGUCACGUAACUCAAUACCAAAAUCUCCCAUCAAUCAAUUUUUGAUUCCAAUCUUGCCCACUAAAAAUGGACAACUCCUAGGCAUUAAUCAUCAACAUUUCACCCAACAGAUUUGCACAAGAUGCUCACUUUAGCAUAUUAAUCUGAAACCUUAAUCUUAACCCAAUCAAUCAUUCGAUACCUGAAAGGAAUGCUAACAAGCUUUUUCGUUCCCCACUCGCAAAUAAACUCCAACCAUUAAUAUCAAAGAUAUUAAAUUAAGGACUAAUUUCAGUUUACCCCCAUCAACUUUAAGUCGAUCAUCAUGUUAGUCCUUCUUCUUUCAAUUUCAUCAAAAACACCCCUCAACUCCCAAUUUUCAUCAGCUGCGCAUGUCCAAACCUCUAAUCUCCAUUCAAUUCCUCUGUCAAGUGAUGACUUGAUAUCAAGAAGAAAAUCAAAUUAUAAAAGUUACCUUUCGGACCAUUUUUCCCCCAUAUCGAUACACAUCUUUGUUCCAAUCACAACCCCCUAACCUUAGUGAUUUUGGUGGGAUUGAAUGCAAUUUGUCUAUUUUUCCUUUUUUCUUUCUUCUUGAUAUCAAGUCAUCACUUGACAGAGGAAUUAGUUGGAGAUUGGAGGUUUGGACAUGCGCGGCUGAUGAAAAUUGGGAGUUGAGGGGUGUUUUUGAUGAAAUUGAAAGAAGAAGGACUAACAUGAUGAUCGACCUAAAGUUGAUGGGGGUAAACUGAAAUUAAUCCUUAAAUUAAUGAACCUUGGAAUAGGUGCAAACUAUACACCUUUUCAAAACUCGAAUGAUGAACACUCAAGAGGUCGGCGUACGGAUUCAUAGUCUUGAAGAUAUAGACAUUUAUGGAUAAUACUGUCCAUAGAUAAGACAAGAAUUACUAUAUCACAAACCUAAGCAACACAUAGUGUCUAAAGCAUAUAAUGCUAAUAGAUCCACCGCGGUCGGACCAUCACUCUAUAGACAUUAAGUAUGACCAAGAAUAUGAGGUAGUACUAAAAGAGAAAGGAAUCGAAUAACCUAGUGCUCUGAUACCAACUAUCAGGACCCACCCCGAAUUUCACCCUGAAACCCGAAGUAAAUCCUGCGGGGACCAUCUCCAACGAAAAUUUACCGAAAAUUCGGCAUAACCUCCCUUGAAAAUGGACAACCCUUCCUAAAAAAAAACCUGCAAACACUUCUGAAAUUUUAAAUCCAACCAUAAACUCCUGGAGCCUUCGUGCUCCCCAAAUCACAACACCACCCAAAUUAAAUACUAACUUUAAACAAAUCUCAUAACCAACCAUUUAUAGGUUCAGAGCAAUUCUAACUGAGAGGAAAAUAAUUAGAAAUUUAGAAAUGAGCGGAAGCUAUACUAUUGACUAUGCCUCUUCUCCAUGUACGCCCGAUCUCAACUAGGCCAACCUGCCAACUAGGCAUUUUAAAACGAAUGGCCCAAGGGAAAACAUUUGAAACACGUUAGAGUGAGUGGACAAAAAUAAAUUAAUAAAUAUUUAUGCAUUCCCAAUUUGAAUUUCAUAGAAAAUAUAUUGCAUGCGGCAGCUCAAAAGCUCUCAACUCAACGAUUGGCAAUUUCGUGACUGGCUCCGGCUAGUCUCCAAACUUAACAAAGAUAAAGCCUCUCAGGCUAAAUUAUAUAUAAAAAUAUAUAUAUAUAUAUAUAUGUGUGUAUGUAUUUAUACUUGUCAUACUCAUUGUAUGAAUUCUAUGAAGGAAUAAGCAAAAUAGAAAUUCAUACAAAACUACUACGCUUACGUCUAACGCUCACGUCAGACCAUAAUGAAAUUUUUCCUCAUUAUGGCGGAAAAGCACGAGUGUAUAUACGUGUGGACCCCUCUAUGAAAACCUAUAUGAACCAGAAAAGAAAAUAGUUUUCAUAUAGGACUACUACGCUUGUGUCUAACACACAUGUCACGCCAUAAUGGUAUUUUACCUCAUUAUGAUGGAUCAAACACGUAUGGCUAGCUAGCAUUUAUAUACACAUACUAUCCUCAUAAACAUUCAAUAAACAUAUCCACCAAAAAUCUCAUUUCCGGGAACUCUCCAAAAGAGAAAAAUUGUCAAAUAUCCAAGAAAUAAAUAAAUCUUAGCAAAAGAAAUAAAUGAUCAACAAAAUAAUUCAUCGCAUGCUUUUCAAUUAAAACAAAGGUCCACUCACAACUUUAGGCCUCAGCCUGACGCCGAUCCGACUUCUGCUUGAUCCUCCUCACGUCCUGUUUCCAAAUGUAAGCCUGACGUCGAUCCGAGGUCUCUUCUGCUUGAGCCUCCUCACGUCCUGUUUCCAAAUGUAUAAUUAAUUUCCCAUUUUAAAAAAAUUCAAUAGUUAAACAAAAUGGGCAAAAUUAAACGUGAGCCUCCCACACACUCAUCAUUGCCCAACUUCGCCAUUCUUAACUCAAUAUGGCUCAAACUUCACCGAACAUACCGGCAACCUUAAUUCAACCUUCUACGGAUUAAUGACUUAAAUCCUACAGCUGAAUUCUACAUUAAUUAACCGACAAAAAAAAACCAAACUUCGGAAAUUCACAAACCUAUCCAAAACUCAUCCAAAAAUUCCAUAAUUCAUAUCAAUAAACUCCCCUUAAUAUUCCAUAUUUAAAACCAUACAAAACUCCCAGACAGCGGCGGCCGGAGGCCGAUUCCGGCGACCUCCAAUUCCUACCAAAUUUUAACAGUAGCUUCCUCUCCACUCCCUCUACAACUUUCCUAACUAGCACAAACCCAAAAUUCAAGCCUAGCUAUGCCAAUCGAACAGAAACACCAAAAACGUCCUAGAACUUCCACCUCAAAUUUCUCCUUACCUGAAGCGAACCGGAGUGACUCCUUUUAGGGCAAGGCAGCAAAAUUGUACCGGAGGAGGAAGUUCCGGCGAAGGAGAGCUUUGGAUAGCCGGAGGUUCCAGGCGUCGAUUCUCUCUCACGGUGGCGCUAGGGGGGCUGUCACCGGCCUAGAAUGGAAGCUAGGUUGGAGGCCGACCGAACGGGACCGGUGCGGCAGUCUCAGGCGGCCGGACAACGGCGGACGAGCGGCCGGAAGGUUUGGCAGCGGGAGGACUCGGGGAGAGAGAGGACCGGGAAGAAAAAGAGGGAAGAGAGAUAUGGGUUUGGGCCUCUAACCCCAAACCGGCCAACACUAAAUAUAUCAAAACCCAACUCCAAAAUUUACACCCCAAAAUAAUACCCUGAUAAAAAUUACUUUUUACUAGCUAAAAUUUACCAUUUUUACCGUCGUCACAUUUUUGUCCUACGAAUAAUUCUCCGCAAAUAACCGUCCCUCAAACCCUUCUUAGAGACCAAUUAAAUUAUAACCUCAAUGACGGAGACGGUAAAAUUUUUAUUAUAACCAAGCUAGUAAAUAAGGUAAAAAUUUAAGGGUCGGGAUGUGACAAUGGCAGCAAAGUCCAAAGGCCUUACUUCUCCUGUUUUUUAUUCUUCAAUACCUUCUUUCCUUCAGUCUGCGCUUGCAGCUGAAAUAGUCCAAGUGUAGUCACUUCCAGUAUUCAAUAAAAUCUGACCUUUUGAUCAAAAAAAAAAUUACCGUAAAAUCAAUAAAAAAAAAAAUAAAGUAAUUUCAAAAUAUAAAAAAGAAAAAAAUUAGUGGAACAGUUUUUGCCGAGUGCCGAGUGCAUUGACAGUUCUUUAUAAUCAAAAUCUGGACAAAAGUAAAACUUCAUUUUUUUUUUAUAAACAAAAGGAUAAAAACAAAUGAAAAAUUUUAAAUACACACCCCUAAUCUCUUAAUACACACCCAUUGCUUAAUACACCCAUCAUCUAGUUUUUCAUUUCGAUAUUAAACUUAAUACACAUCCCAAACUGCCUAUAAUACUCUUAUAUCUAAAACUAAGAAAUAAUAUGUUAUUUAGUAUAAUUAUUAUAAAUUUACUAUAUAUUUUGGUAACUCUUUUACAUAUUUUUUUUAUAUUUUCUGCUAGAAUUAUAAAUUUUUUCUUUUCAUCGUCAAAUUUAUAAUUAAAAGACUAUUAUUACACAAACUCAAAUCUCCGAUUAUGACAUCAAUCAUUUGGAAUUCGAAAAAAUAUCAACCAUUUCAAGUUUUUGAAAUUCACAAGCUAGUAAAAGUACAUUAGGUGUUUAAUUGACAACUUUGAGGUCACGGGUUCAAACCUCAUUGACAUAUGUAGGGUGUGUGAGUUAUUAAUAAUUUUUUUUUUUUAAAAAGUACAUUAGGUCACUAGCUAUUAAACAUAUAUACCUACUUUUUUCAAUACCGCAUGUCAAGACGAACAUGUAGUACUUCAAAAUGGUCUGCAAGAUCAUAACUAAAACUGAUACAAAAAAGAAAAAAGAAAAAAAGAGACAAAACCCAAAUGAACCGAUGUUAAUUAAACAAUACAUGUGAUUAUAAGGAAGCAGUCGAAAUUCGGGUCAUGAAUUCUAAAAGUAUUUUUUUUUUUUGGGUAUGAAACUGUAAAUUGUGGAGAAGAGUCAAGUUUAGGGAAGAAGUAAUCGUUUAGAUGGUUUUAGGGUAGGAGAUUAGAUUUAUAAUUGUGAUUUCUUUUUCUUUUUUAAUAAUACAUGCCUAAAAUAUUUGAUGUGAAACAUAAAUUAAUAUGAGUGUAUAUUAAGAGAUUAGGGGUGUGUAUUUACACUACCAGGACAAUCACUUUAGCCGACGAAAAAUUUUUGUCGGCCUGUUAGCUUAAUUCAUCGGCUAAGAUCUUAGCCGACGAGCCAUCGUCGGCUAAGAUUUCGUCGGGAAAAGGUCGUCUGUGAUGACUUUCGCCGACGAAAAAAAAAAUUUCGUCGGCUAUAGUCCCGCAGUUUAGCCGACGAAAAACAUGUCGUCGGUUCUUUUCCCAGACUUUAUCCGACGAAACAAUUAAGAUAUUCGUCUGCUAAAGUCUGUAAUAAAAAAAAAUUUCCCAGACUAUAACCGACGAAAUAUAGUAUGUUUCGUCGGCUAAACCUUAUAAAAAUAAUUUAAAAAAUAACUCUAGCCGACAAAAUAUAGUCUGUUUCAUCGGCUAAACCUUAUAAAAAAUUUUAAAAAAUAACUAUAGCCGACGAAAUAUAGUCUGUUUCGUCGGCUAAACCUUAUAAAAAAAAUUUAAAAAAUAACUAUACCCGACGAAAUAUGCCAUAAUUCGUCGGCUAAACCUUAUAAAAAAAUUUAAAAAUACUAUAGCCGACGAAUAAACCUUUAAAUAUCGUCGGCUAAACCUUUAAAUAUCGUCGGCUAAAGUUGCUGGUUUUUGAAAAAAAAAACUGCAGAAACUUUCGGCCACCUCCAAUCACCACCAAAAUUUGACAGAAUCUUCCUCUCAACAUUUCGAACAACUUUCUAGAAGAAGUCGAAGCCCAAUUCUAAGCCUAAACAGGUCAAUUGAAUCAAAAUAUAAAAAUCCCCAAUUUUAAACCCUAAAAACUUCAAAUCUUCGAUUCUCCUCACACACACCGAAUCGAGCUACCAAAUUCUAGGAGAAUGUAGUACUAAUCAAAGUCAACUUAUCCAUAUAUAGAACUCACCAAAUGGUGACCUGAGGAAGGAGAAAUUCGAUCGACACCGAAUCCGAACCGACGGAGUUUUGGAGCUCGAUUUAUCUCUCACGGCGGCGCCACUCGAUGUACCACCUGUCCAGCAAUGAAGUAGAGACGACGGCGAUAGUUUUGGGACAAGUGUGGCGGUCUCCGGUGGCUUCACGGCGGAGCUAGGCCGAGAAGAAAAUCUGGCAGGCGAAAUAGAUUUCUUACCAUCCACCUUCGGUAAUAUAUAGAACUUUAGCCGACGAAAUUCUUUAUUUUCGUCGGCUAAACUCUUUUGAAAAUUUUGAAAAUUUUAGUUGACCGCCAAAAAAUUUUGGUUGAAAAUUUUGAAAAUUUUUCGACUUUAGCCGACGACUUUUCAUAUAUUUUCGUCGGCUAAAGUCCUUUGAAAAUUUUCCUCCAAAUUUGGUUUACCGCCCAAAAAUUUUUGUCCUUCGCCGACGACUUUUUUAAUAUCUCGUCGGCUAAAAUCUAUAAACUCACGAAAACGCUUAUAUCUCCCUCUAUAUUACGUAGUUUGGUCAAACCUUCCACACGAAAAACUUUCACGUAGAUGAGACGCAACCGCCUAUAUAAAAAUUUUGAGACAUUUACCUUCCGACGAUAGGGCUUCCCAUAGUGAAUAAUAACGGUAAAUAGGGUUGACCACUACUAUCGGCACCGAGACUUUACCCGAUUUACGUGAUUUUUGAACCAUAGCCGUAUUUCACCAUUCUGAACACAUCUUAUUUCAGGAGAUUUUUGAUAAUUUUGCUUCCUAUGUAGAGUUGGUUCACAAAAUUGUAUAACCUACUAAACAAGUUAUACAACAUUAGUAGACACGUUGUGAUUCCGAUGACUAAAAUUCACAAACCAAAAUUCGACCGUCCGAUAUGAUCAUUAUGACGAAAGAUGUCUAUGGUAAAAAAUUCAACUGGAUCCGACAACGUUAAGGACUCGAUCGAAACGGUUAACCCUAAUCCAUCGUCACUUAUCACACGAAAACGCUCAUAUCUCCCUCUAUAUUACGUGGUUUGGACAAACCUUCCACACAAAAAACUCUCACGUAGAUGAGACACAACUGCCCAUAUACAAAUUUUGAGACAUUUACCUUCCGACGAUAGGGCUCCCCAUAGGGAAUAAUAACGGUAAAUAGUAGACACGUUGUGAUUCCGAUGACUAAAAUUUACAAACCAAAAUUCGACCGUCCGAUAUGAUCAUUAUGAAGAAAGAUGUCUAUGGUAAAAAAUUCAACUGGAUCCGACAAGGUUAAGGACUCGAUCGAAACGGUUAACCCUAAUCCAUCGUCACUUAUCACACGAAAACGCUCAUAUCUCCCUCUAUAUUACGUGGUUUGGACAAACCUUCCACACAAAAAACUCUCACGUAGAUGAGACACAACUGCCCAUAUACAAAUUUUGAGACAUUUACCUUCCGACGAUAGGGCUCCCCAUAGGGAAUAAUAACGGUAAAUAGUAGACACGUUGUGAUUCCGAUGACUAAAAUUUACAAACCAAAAUUCGACCGUCCGAUAUGAUCAUUAUGAAGAAAGAUGUCUAUGGUAAAAAAUUCAACUAGAUUCGACAACGUUAAGGGCUCGAUCGAAACAGUCAACUCUAAUCGGAAAUAAGAAAACUGCAUUUUGAAGCCCUAAACGGACUCGGAUGGCCAAAAAGGCCCAUACAUCAUAGCAUUAGCAAUGAGUUUGACUCGUAGGGCCGUUACGCUUCCGGAAAGGUAUCACAAUAGUCAAUCGGACACCAAAAACCAAAUCUGUAACAUAGUGAAUAAUAAGGGUAAAUUGCAUUGACCGCAACUAUCGGCACCGAGACUUUACCGGAAUACCGUGAUUUUUCAACCGUGGACGUAUUUCACCAUUCUGGUCAUAUCUUAUUUCACAACUAUUUUGCGUUUGAAGGUUCUACGUACAGUUUUUUUUUUCCCAGAUGAGUUGUUGUCUAGAUCUGCAAAUAUAAAGCACUUUAGCCGACGAAAUUAUAUUUUUCGUCGGCUAAACUUUUAAAAAUUUCGUCAGCUAAAGUUCACAGACUAUAGCCGACGAAAAAAAUUAUUCAGACGACGAAAUUUUAAUUUCGUCGGCUAAAGUUGACCAUAGCCGACGAAAAUUUUUAAUUAGCUGAAGAAGGGAAAUUUCGUCGGCUAAAGUCCACUUUAGCCGACCAAAAAAUAAUUCGUCGGCCUGGUUUUUUUAUUUUCAUCGGCUAAAGUCUUUCUUCUGGUAGUGUUAAAAUUACUCAAAACAAAUUGACACAAACGUUAGCGUGUCUUAUGAGGCUAGUAUUUUAUAACCAUUCCCAAUAUGAUAGUGUUAAAACUGCAAAACCACGUACUCUAGGAUUUCAAAAAAAUUAUUCUAUCUUUGUCCUACUAGGGGACGUUGUUGUUGGACGGGAUUCUAGGGCGGGCAAAUGGUAGCUAAGCCCUACAGCAGGUUGGCGGUGGAAUGAGAGAGAGAGAGAGGUUGUUCAUCGGUGCAGACUGAGAUGCUGUGGGAAGAUUUGUAUUGCAAAUUUGCAAUGCGGUGUUAUUCCGGUGGGGGGGAGGAUGUUGGCGCCGGGUAAGAGCGAUCAUUCUGACCUAUUCAAAAGGGCGAUGACAUGGAGCGGUAAAGUGAUGAGAUGGAGAAAGCGAGGCGGCGACUUGGCUAGUUUGUGGUUUUGAUUCGAGUCUCUUUGCUCCGAUUUGUUUGUUGUUGUUGAAGGGUGGUGUACUGUCUCUAUAAUUUGAGAUGGGUCAAGGAUGGUGGUUCUUCCUUGGUGGUGACCGACGUUGGCGAUAGACGUUGGCGGUGGACGACGUAUCUGCAUUCAGGUUUUUCAACCUCUUGGGCCGGAUCUAGGGUGGCCUUUUCCUUGAGCUCCAAAAGGCUUUGGCUGGGCCUGGGUUCCCCUUGGGCCUAAGUUUUGUUGGGUCUAUUUUGUUUUAGUUUUUCACUUUUUACGUCGGUUAGUUCUUGUUGAUCAAUGUAAUGGGGAAGUUAUUUGUACAUAUAUGCUGGUAAUUUUGGUAUAUAUAUAGUGUUUGAAAUGGUUGAUUCUUCUUGAGGGUAACUAUAAGGAUGUUAUCGAGACUUCUGGAUUAAAUUAAAUUACAGUUGAACCUUUUCGGUUCUUAUCCACUGUAAUUCAUUACCAGGACCAAUGUUCUAAAAGGCGCUAGGCGCUAGGCGGGCGGUAACCCACAGCCUAGAGCCUGGACAGCCUAGGCGAGGAUUAGGCGGGGACUAGGCGAUUUGUAUUUUUUAAGAUUUAUUAAUUAAAAAUAUAUAUUUUAUGCAAUUUAAUAUUUGAAAACGGUCAAAUAUAGAUAAAUUAUUCAACAUAAUCUAGUCAUACUCAUUUAUAAAAUAAAUUAUAACUAAAAUUUAGCAUAACUUCCUGUAAAAAUGAGCAACAACAGCAAUAAACAUAUACACUUCUAAUUUUAAACACACAAUUAACUCUUAUACUCUCAUACUCCCCACAAUAUAACAAUCCCACACAAAAAGAAAACAAAAAUAGCCGUAGAGCUUAGCAGCCUAGGCGGGCAAGGCGGCAUCUAGGCGGGCUAGGCGGCAUUUAGGCGAGCUAGGCGGCCGCCUAAUCGCCCACAGCCUGGCACAAAGGCCUGGAAGAAAAGCGAGACGGCUUGUUACAGCCUAGAGCCUAGGCGGGGACUAGGCGGUCCUAGGCGGGGCCUUUUAGAAGCUUGACCAGGACAAGCACUUUAGCCGACGAAAAAUUUUCGUCGGCCCGUUAUCCUAAUUCGUCGGCUAAAGUCUUAGCCGACGAGCCUUCGUCGGCUAUAGUGUCGUCGGGAAAAGGUCGUCGGCGAUGGCUUUAGCCGACGAACCUUGAGACCGUCGUCGGCUAUUAUCCAAACUUUAGCCGACGAACUAUUUUGUCAUCGGCUUUUGUUCAUGCAUUUAAGCCGACGAAAAUACUUCGUCGGCUAUUGUUCCAGACUUUAGCUGACGACAUCCUAUUUCGUUGGCUAUACUCCCAGACUUAAGCCAACGUAACAAAAAUAUUCGUCGGCUUUACUCCCAGACUUUAACCGACAGAACAGAGAUAUUCGUCGGCUAAAGUAUGGUUUAGCCGACGAAACAUGCCAUAAUUCGCGGGCUAAACCCUAUGGAAAAAAAAUUAAGAAUGCUAUAGCCGACGAAUUGUGGCAUGUUUCGUCAGCUAUAACUCCAUUCCAGUAAAAAAAAUACGUGAAAUUUCUAAAUUAUCAUUCCAAGCAAGCUGCAAAAAACACUAAAACAAUUCUAUAUAUAUAACCAACAAGAAGCACAUAAAACUAUAUAAGGUACCAACUACACAAAAUCUAGAUAGUUUAAAUCAAUAUCCGAUUCUGGGGCCUGCUGGUGAGGAGAUUGCGGCGGCAGAGGUAACUGUAUAGGCGCAGGCAUGGGCGGAGGUGGAAGUCUCUGAAGCUGGGCAGCUGUAAAAUCCUGGAAGUACUGGAACAUCUGCUGAUGCUGGGCCUGCUGGGCGGCAUGUAGGGCUCUAGCAUAGGCUCUAUAUUCGAUGAUCUGGGCGGCAUGAGCGGCAACCUGAGCAGUCGAGGCUCUCAACUUCCGACUCUAGUUGAGUCGUCGUGCUGCUAGUCGAGGCUGCCUUUCGUUGAAAUCCUGGAGUGGUCUUCAGGACCCCCUGGCCCUUCUUUCCUAGACCCCGGCAGUAGAAGUUGUUUUCUCGCAGUGGGAAGGCUGUGCCCAUGAUACUCGCCCCAACCCUCGGAUCUGAAGUGUCGAUCCGGGAUAUGGCUUCGGACAUCUCUUCCUCCUGCGUGUCCGGCCAUGUCUCCCUCACUAUAGCACUCAUCACCUCGUCACUAGCCUCCUUCACCUUUGCCUAAUUGGAUAGAAAAAAAAUUAUUAAUUAACAUUUUGACAUAUAUAAGUAAAAUUAAAAAUUCCGUAAAAAGGAAAAAUUACUUACUAUAUCCUCCUGGGAGUCAGGAUAUGUCUUCUCGUACGUAUAGACGUACUGGUUGACCUCUGGAUGUUCCCUGGCCGCCUCGUCCAUGAAGACAGCGAACGGUCUAGAACCGGCAUGAUGGUUCCUUGUGUUGCGUUGCCGGUUGACACGACCCACCCCAAAUUUCACCCUGAAACCCAGAGUAAGUCGUGCGGGGACCACCUCCAAGGAAAAUUUACCGAAAAAUCGGCAUAACCUCCCUUGAAAAUGGACAACCCUUCCUAUUAACACCUGCAAACACUUCUGAAAAUUUAAAUCCAACCUUAAACUCCUGGAACCUUCGUGCUCCCCAUAUCACAACAUCUCCCAAUUUAAUUACCAAUUUAAACAAGAUAAUCUCAUAGCCAACAGCCACAGUUCAGAGCAACUCUAUUUGAAAGGAAAUAAACUAGAAAUAUAAAAAUGAGCGGAAGCUACACUAUUGACUAUGCCUCUUCUCCAAAUACGUCCGACCACAACUAUGCAAUCCUGCAAACUGGGCAUUUUUAAAACGAAGAGCCCAGGGGAAAACAUUUGAAAACGAAACGUUAGAGUGAGUGGACAAAAAUAAAUUUACGAAUAAAAUAUUUGUUUCCCCAAAACAAUUUCCAAAGAAANNNNN
rnacentral:lncRNA from 1 species